UAGAAGUCGAGGAAUUAUUCCGACUGCAACGCAGAUUAAAUCUACGGAUUUAAUUUAAGUCAUAUUAUAGUUUUUCAAUAUUGGAAACAAGGAAGCAGAUACUAAACAGAUACAGAAACGCGAUGAUUGAAAAUCGAAGCCAGUAUUUAUUUACAGUUCACAGAUUACAGGCUAGUUCCCAGCUUGGGGAAAAUCGUCUAGUAUAUCACAAAAGCUGUAGACUCUACAUGGCCUACUUAUUGCCACUAACUCUUGUGCAUAAAAAUCAUUAAAGCUAGUGGAAUGGAAUCCACUACCCUUUUGCUCCCCACCAACUCCACUACCCUUUGCUCCACCAACUCCACUCCACCAAACUUCCCACUUACUCCCUUCCCCACCACACGCAAGAAUGCAUCCAACAUUCCCUUAUACCUGCAGCAAUCUCUUCAUCAUCUUCAUUCUUCACUAAGGAACCGAAGAGUAGGAAGAAAUUCUACAUUCACUGUUCUGCCAUCAAACCUCAAGAGGUAAGCUUCGGUCCAUAUCCUCCAAUAUCUUCCAUAUUCAUUCUUGCAAUCACUAAAGAGGCAAAAUACGUUAUUUUGUUCCAGUUAUCGAUUCCUUAAUUCAACCACAAACAGCUAACGAACACCAAGCAUAGCAGGUCAAGCGCGAGAGUAAGAACUACACAAGGAGUUAGAGUACCUUAGCAAAACUUUGCUAUCAGGUUGAGCUGUGAUGGGCGAUGAAGUGUUGCUGAGUGGAGUUUUUGUCGAACUUAAAGUAGGCUCAGAAAGGAUACAUGUCUUCAUACAUGUAUCACAGUUAUGCUUUCCGCUGUAAACACUGAUUAUUUCAGUUACGCCUUCCGUUGCAAACUCUGAUAAUGUUUUAGCCAAGCCCCUAAUGAUGCCUUUUUCCUUUUAAGGAAUAUAACGCGUAUACAAGUUCUUUGAGUACCCUUUUUAUGCGAACUAUGCCUUUUUCCUUUUUAAGGAAUA